CGUCUCUUAAGAGACACGUGUCCCCAUGAGAGAGUUUUAUGUUUAGCUUUAUCUCUCUCGAAGGAUCUCUCCUCCUCUCUCUCCAAUCCACCGUCCCGACAUCGUCCAAUCCCUCGAUUUAUCUCUCCGACUCACCUCCUCCAAAACCCAAAAACCAGCACUUCUUAUUUUGUUCUGAUCUCUUCAACCUAUUCAAUCCUCCGCCUCUGAAACCUCCAUCACCGUACUCAUCAGCCACCACCACAUGUCCCUCACUAGCAGCGUGUCAUACCCUCUCUGUGCUAAGCAUCUCUUUGCUAACUCGCACGCUCAUCCUUUGUUUUCUCUCUCUGAUCGUCUUUACCUUUUGAUUCUUCCUUCUUCUCCUAUCAAACAGACAGAUCUUCCAUUAGUCUCAAAGUUUCCUUCCGAUAUGAAGAAAUCAAAUGAGAAAGGUAAAGCUAAGACCACCAAGGAAGCCUUGAAGCUAGUUGAUGACAAGAAGGUGGGAAAGAGGAAGGCACCGGCUGAGAAGCCUAGCAAGCAGGAGAAGAAGGCCAAGAAGGACCCUAACAAACCCAAGAGAGCUCCUAGUGCCUUCUUUGUCUUCCUUUACAAUAAACUCUGAGGAAUCUGGUCGACGAAGAAACAUGCGCCGAUGCUUACAUAGCACAACAAUAGAACUAGUCUCUUCAUUCUUGCAGGCCAAAAAUGUAUGGGGUUGUUGGUGUGGUCACUUGAUGUUUAUGUCCUAACAAAUGAGACCAAUGAAAGUCAAAAAAAUCGUUUAAGUCAAAAAGUCAAAAAGAUCGGUUAAGUCGAUGUUACUUCAUGUCUGUUUCGUUACUGGUAUGAAGUUGUAGCUUCUUCUGUUUGUUCGUCAUGUCUUCUCGUGUGGUCUUGUGAAAUCACAUGUUUUGUAUUGUUGUUGUGUUGUUGUGUAGUCUUGUGUCACAGACUAGAGUGUGGUUGAUUCACAUGUUUUGUAUUGUUGUUGUGUUGUUCUAUAUAUAUGUGUUUAUUCA